rnacentral:piRNA from 1 species
UCUCCUGACCUGACACUUCGUAUGAGAA